rnacentral:rRNA from 1 species
CAGUAGCCGCGGUAAUACGAAGGGGGCUAGCGUUGUUCGGAUUUACUGGGCGUAAAGCGCACGUAGGCGGAUCGAUCAGUCAGGGGUGAAAUCCUGGAGCUCAACUCCAGAACUGCCUUUGAUACUGUCGAUCUCGAGUCCGGAAGAGGUGAGUGGAACUCCUAGUGUAGAGGUGGAAUUCGUAGAUAUUAGGAAGAACACCAGUGGCGAAGGCGGCUCAUUGGUCCGGUACUGACGCUGAGGUGCGAAAGCGUGGGGAGCAAACAGGAUUAGAUACCCCAGUAGUCCCUGUCUCUUAUAC